rnacentral:rRNA from 1 species
GAUGAACGCUGACAGAAUGCUUAACACAUGCAAGUCAACUUGAACUUCGGUUUGGGUGGCGGACGGGUGAGUAACGCGUAAAGAACUUGCCUCACAGAUAGGGACAACAUUUGGAAACGAAUGCUAAUACCUGAUAUUAUGAUUAUAUGGCAUCGUAUAAUUAUGAAAGCUAUAUGCGCUGUGAGAGAGCUUUGCGUCCCAUUAGCUAGUUGGAGAGGUAACGGCUCACCAAGGCGAUGAUGGGUAGCCGGCCUGAGAGGGUGAUCGGCCACAAGGGGACUGAGACACGGCCCUUACUCCUACGGGAGGCAGCAGUGGGGAAUAUUGGACAAUGGACCAAGAGUCUGAUCCAGCAAUUCUGUGUGCACGAUGAAGUUUUUCGGAAUGUAAAGUGCUUUCAGUUGGGAAGAAAAAAAUGACGGUACCAACAGAAGAAGUGACGGCUAAAUACAUG